rnacentral:rRNA from 1 species
GAUGAACGCUGGCGGCGUGCCUAAUACAUGCAAGUCGAGCGAACAGACGAGGAGCUUGCUCCUCUGACGUUAGCGGCGGACGGGUGAGUAACACGUGGAUAACCUACCUAUAAGACUGGGAUAACUUCGGGAAACCGGAGCUAAUACCGGAUAAUAUAUUGAACCGCAUGGUUCAAUAGUGAAAGACGGUUUUGCUGUCACUUAUAGAUGGAUCCGCGCCGCAUUAGCUAGUUGGUAAGGUAACGGCUUACCAAGGCAACGAUGCGUAGCCGACCUGAGAGGGUGAUCGGCCACACUGGAACUGAGACACGGUCCAGACUCCUACGGGAGGCAGCAGUAGGGAAUCUUCCGCAAUGGGCGAAAGCUUGACGGAGCAACGCCGCGUGAGUGAUGAAGGUCUUCGGAUCGUAAAACUCUGUUAUUAGGGAAGAACAAAUGUGUAAGUAACUAUGCACGUCUUGACGGUACCUAAUCAGAAAGCCACGGCUAACUACGUG